GAAUUUCCCAGUCUCCGAUAGAGACCAGAAAAAUUUCCCAGGCUCUGAAAGAUGACAGACAAAUUUCCCAGUGUGCGACAGAAAGACAUGCUCUGUUAGAGGAGUGUUCAAGUCUCAGGCUAGAUAAACAGUGUCAAAAAAAGUUUAUGUAAAUGUGGAAAACACAUUGAUAUGAUUUUAUAUAUACUUGUAUAAAAUAAUGUUCAGGUAAGUACAAGAUGUUUUAGUCCUUUUGGAACUAUUUUUUGAUCUGUUUUAUAUUGAAUGCAUUUCUUGACAUGACAUGUUUUAUGUUUUUGGAGAUAGUCAAGAUGACAGAAUAUUCAAUAUUAAAAACCUAAUUUCAUAUAUGAAUUAGAUCAAUGAUUGGAUCUUUAAACAGUUCAACUUUUUCAUAUUGUAACAAUAAGUAAACUUUGAGUAUCGUUAAUUUGUUUGUCAAAUUUUAGUUGUACAUGUACAUGCGUUGCAGUUUUAUUUUCCCUUUUUCAAAUAAAAUGUGAAUUAG
rnacentral:misc_RNA from 1 species